rnacentral:rRNA from 1 species
AGAUUGAACGCUGGCGGCAGGCCUAACACAUGCAAGUCGAGCGGCAGCACGGGUACUUGUACCUGGUGGCGAGCGGCGGACGGGUGAGUAAUGCCUAGGAAUCUGCCUGGUAGUGGGGGAUAACGCUCGGAAACGGACGCUAAUACCGCAUACGACCUACGGGAGAAAGCAGGGGACCUUCGGGCCUUGCGCUAUCAGAUGAGCCUAGGUCGGAUUAGCUAGUUGGUGAGGUAAUGGCUCACCAAGGCGACGAUCCGUAACUGGUCUGAGAGGAUGAUCAGUCACACUGGAACUGAGACACGGUCCAGACUCCUACGGGAGGCAGCAGUGGGGAAUAUUGGACAAUGGGCGAAAGCCUGAUCCAGCCAUGCCGCGUGUGUGAAGAAGGUCUUCGGAUUGUAAAGCACUUUAAGUUGGAGGAAGGCAGUUACCUAAUACGUAUCUGUUUGACGUUACCGACAGAAUAAGCACCGGACUAACUCUGU